rnacentral:rRNA from 1 species
AACGAACGCUGGCGGCAUGCCUAACACAUGCAAGUCGAACGAAGGCUUCGGCCUUAGUGGCGCACGGGUGCGUAACGCGUGGGAAUCUGCCCUUGGGUUCGGAAUAACAGCGAGAAAUUGCUGCUAAUACCGGAUAAUAUCGCGAGAUCAAAGAUUUAUCGCCUGAGGAUGAGCCCGCGUAGGAUUAGCUAGUUGGUGUGGUAAAGGCGCACCAAGGCGACGAUCCUUAGCUGGUCUGAGAGGAUGAUCAGCCACACUGGGACUGAGACACGGCCCAGACUCCUACGGGAGGCAGCAGUGGGGAAUAUUGGACAAUGGGCGCAAGCCUGAUCCAGCAAUGCCGCGUGAGUGAUGAAGGCCUUAGGGUUGUAAAGCUCUUUUACCCGGGAUGAUAAUGACAGUACCGGGAGAAUAAGCCCCGGCUAACUCCGUGCCAGCAGCCGCGGUAAUACGGAGGGGGCUAGCGUUGUUCGGAAUUACUGGGCGUAAAGCGCACGUAGGCGGCUUUGUAAGUUAGAGGUGAAAGCCUGGAGCUCAACUCCAGAACUGCCUUUAAGACUGCAUCGCUUGAAUCCAGGAGAGGUGAGUGGAAUUCCGAGUGUAGAGGUGAAAUUCGUAGAUAUUCGGAAGAACACCAGUGGCGAAGGCGGCUCACUGGACUGGUAUUGACGCUGAGGUGCGAAAGCGAGCAAACAGGAUUAGAUACCCUGGUA